rnacentral:lncRNA from 1 species
UAUCAACAAAUUAUAAGUUUACGGGUACCAUGAGGAUUUUUCAUGCAUUUAAACGACAGAAGUACAAGCGAACAGAUGACACAUUAUUAAAGUGGCUGCAGAAGCUUGAAAAGUUAGAUAGAGCAGGGGCAGUCAAAACUGUGGGAUAAUACUUCUAUGGUGUCCAACAUGUCUAGUCAGGUUGACAGAAGUGAAAGAUGGUCUGAUGGUACAAUGAUGUACAAAUGAUACUCUUUAAUACACAUUGUAAAUGUAAUUAAAAUGAUUUUAUGAAGUUUCAUGAAGGAUGGUACAGCCAACCAUUUUGAAUCAAGAAAUUUUGACUUAGGUAAAGAUAUCUAUUCAGACUUUUUAACUCUUAGCCUUUCAUAUGAUACAGAGAUAAAAGAACUACUAUUGUCGGCCACUAACCGUGUUUCAAAGCUUUUAAACAUACUAUAGAAAUG